AUCAGAUCACUUCUGAUCAAACACAAGCCACUCUCUCUCACCAAGCCCCCCCCCCCCCACACACAAAUAUAUAUAUAUAUAUAUAUAUAUAUAUAUAUAUAUAUAUAUAUAUAUAUAUAUAUAUAUAUCCCUCUUCUCUUAACCCUUCCAAACCCGGUUUCCUUUCUUAUCUUCCCAAGACACUUUGAGAGUUCAAGUUUCCUUUUCUUUC
rnacentral:lncRNA from 1 species